GACGAACGCUGGCGGCGUGCCUAAUACAUGCAAGUCGAACGAGAGCGACCGGUGCUUGCACUGGUCAAUCUAGUGGCGAACGGGUGAGUAACACGUGGGUAACCUGCCCAUCAGAGGGGGAUAACAUCCGGAAACGGAUGCUAAAACCGCAUAGGUCUUCGAACCGCAUGGUUUGAAGAGGAAAAGAGGCGCAAGCUUCUGCUGAUGGAUGGACCCGCGGUGCAUUAGCUAGUUGGUGAGGUAACGGCUCACCAAGGCCGUGAUGCAUAGCCGACCUGAGAGGGUGAUCGGCCACAUUGGGACUGAGACACGGCCCAAACUCCUACGGGAGGCAGCAGUAGGGAAUCUUCCGCAAUGGACGCAAGUCUGACGGAGCAACGCCGCGUGAGUGAAGAAGGCUUUCGGAUCGUAAAACUCUGUUGUUAGAGAAGAACAAGUGCUAGAGUAACUGUUAGCGCCUUGACGGUAUCUAACCAGAAAGCCACGGCUAACUACGUG
rnacentral:rRNA from 1 species